CGCUGGCGGCGUGCUUAACACAUGCAAGUCGAACGAUGAAAGCGGGAGCUUGCUCCUGCUGGAUUAGUGGCGAACGGGUGAGUAACACGUGAGCAAUCUGCCCUUGACUCUGGGAUAACGCCGAGAAAUUGGUGCUAAUACCGGAUAUGACCCUUGGAGGCAUCUCGUGGGGGUGGAAAGAAUUUCGGUCAAGGAUGAGCUCGCGGCCUAUCAGCUAGUUGGUGAGGUAAGGCUCACCAAGGCGACGACGGGUAGCCGGCCUGAGAGGGUGACCGGCCACACUGGAACUGAGAUACGGUCCAGACUCCUACGGGAGGCAGCAGUGGGGAAUAUUGCACAAUGGACGAAAGUCUGAUGCAGCAACGCCGCGUGGAGGAUGACACAUUUCGGUGCGUAAACUCCUUUUAUAUAGGAAGAUAAUGACGGUACUAUAUGAAUAAGCACCGGCUAACUCCGUG
rnacentral:rRNA from 1 species